AGAGAGAGACAUGCGCGCAUAUCAAUAAGCGGAGGAAAAGAAACUAACAAGGAUUCCCUUAGUAACGGCGAGUGAAGCGGGAAGAGCUCAAAUUUGAAAUCUUCAAGGUUUUACCUUGACGAAUUGUAGUUUAAAGAAGUGUUUUCUGCUGAAGUUUUGGUAAAAGUUCUUUGGAAUAGGACAUCAUAGAGGGUGAGAAUCCCGUAUUUGACCAUUAUUUUCAGCUUUGUGAUACACUUUCAAAGAGUCGGAUUGUUUGGGAAUGCAGUCCAAAAUGGGUGGUAAAUUUCAUCUAAAGCUAAAUAUUGGCGAGAGACCGAUAGCGAACAAGUACCGUGAGGGAAAGAUGAAAAGAACUUUGAAAAGAGAGUUAAACAGUACGUGAAAUUGUCAAAAGGGAAGCGUUUGACACCAGUGUUGUUUUCUCGAAAAUCAAUUAAAAAUGGCUCGAUUUUGUAUUGUUGAGACCUUAAAAGCUCACUGUACAUUUUUCGUGUCUUUUUUAAUGCACUUUUCGUUUAACAAGUCAACAUCAGUUUCUUUUGUUGUAAAAGGGUCAUUGGAAGGUGGACUUUCUUUUCGGAGAAAGUGUUUAUAGCCUUUGGCCUCUGCAAUCGGAAGAGACUGAGGUCUGCAGCGUAGACUCUUCGGGGUUAGAUACAUUUGUGCUAAGUUAUAGCUUUUUAUAGACAACUUGUUGACUAUAAUUAGUCUUGUAGCUUACUCGCUUAUGCUAUUUUACCUACGCUUAGGAUGUUGAAGAUGUAGCACAUCAU
rnacentral:rRNA from 1 species